NUGAUCCUACCAGUAAUAUACGCUUGUCUCAAAGGUUAAGCCAUGCAUGUCUAAGUACAAACAUAAAUGAAUGUGAAACCGCAUAAGGCUCAGUACAACAGCCAUAAUUCACAAGAUCAUCCACCCAUCAGUUACUUGGAUAACUGUGGAAAAGCCAGAGCUAAUACAUGCAACAUGCCGGGACCGCUGUCCGCUUGCGGGCGGUGGAACUGGUGCACUUAUUAGUAAAACCAAUCGCCUCCGGGCGGCUUGAGUUGAAGUCUGGAUAAGGAUGCCGAUCGUAUGGUCGCUUGACCGACGACAGAUCUUGCAAAUGUCUGCCCUAUCAACUAUUGAUGGUAGUGUAGAGGACUACCAUGGUUGCGACGGGUAACGGGGAAUCAGGGUUCGAUUCCGGAGAGGGAGCCUGAGAAAUGGCUACCACAUCCAAGGAAGGCAGCAGGCGCGUAAAUUACCCAAUCCCGGCACGGGGAGGUAGUGACGAGAAAUAACAAUAUGGACCUCUCUAACGAUGGUCCAUAAUUGGAAUGAAUUGAGCAUAAAUCCUUCAAUAAGGAUCAAGUGGAGGGCAAGUCUGGUGCCAGCAGCCGCGGUAAUUCCAGGCGGUAAUUCCAGCUCCACUAGCGUAUAUU
rnacentral:ncRNA from 1 species